UGGGGAAUUUUGGACAAUGGGCGAAAGCCUGAUCCAGCAAUGCCGCGUGUGUGAAGAAGGCCUUCGGGUUGUAAAGCACUUUUGUCCGGAAAGAAAUCCUUGGCUCUAAUACAGUCGGGGGAUGACGGUACCGGAAGAAUAAGCACCGGCUAACUACGUGCCAGCAGCCGCGGUAAUACGUAGGGUGCAAGCGUUAAUCGGAAUUACUGGGCGUAAAGCGUGCGCAGGCGGUUUGCUAAGACCGAUGUGAAAUCCCCGGGCUCAACCUGGGAACUGCUUUGGUGACUGGCAGGCUAGAGUAUGGCAGAGGGGGGUAGAAUUCCACGUGUAGCAGUGAAAUGCGUAGAGAUGUGGAGGAAUACCGAUGGCGAAGGCAGCCCCCUGGGCCAAUACUGACGCUCAUGCACGAAAGCGUGGGGAGCAAACAGGAUUAGAUACCCUGGUAGUCCACGCCCUAAACGAUGUCAACUAGUUGUUGGGGAUUCAUUUCCUUAGUAACGUAGCUAACGCGUGAAGUUGACCGCCUGGGGAGUACGGUCGCAAGAUUAAAACUCAAAGGAAUUGACCGGGGUCAUA
rnacentral:rRNA from 1 species